UUCAAUAUUGUAAACAUCUAUUAUGUAUAUUAAAACAAUACAUUUUGGUGUCACUUGGCAUAAUUUUAAUCCACUAAUUGCCACAUGUCCUCUCUACAGCUUCUAACUUUACAAAAUCCCGCUCAAACUAAAACCCUAAAUCAAAACACGCGUAGAUGUUUCUGUUCCUUCUCCUACAAUCUUCUUUCCCCACCCCUUCAUCCGCUCUUUUUGCUGAACAUCAAUUAAUCAAAGAUUGAUACAAAUUCUGGACUUUCCAUAAUUUUCAAAUCACGCCCUUAGCUUCUUUUUCACAAACCCUAAUUCUCUAUACUGCAUCUAUGGCAUCAAAAAAACUCCUUAUCGCCGAUAAAAGGACCCUUCUGGUUAUCGGAUACAUCAAUGGCCUCAAAAGUUCGAUUCCAAAACUCUUUUCAUCAAUGGCGAAUAUGGCUAGAAGAAAAAUAACCAGUCUCUUUCAUGUACACUUUCCUAAGGAUUCGUGUCUGGAUCUGAUAAAAACGGCGGCGUUGUUAUCGGUGGCGGCCCAGACUGAUACAUGAUUCUUUGUUGAAGAUUGGCGACAUCUCUUUGUUUCUCAAUCGUUUAUGAACAAUAACAGUUCAUGUGGUUCAGAUUGGGCUUUUGUUGAUGUAGCAAAUUUGUUUAUUCAAAACAGGGUUUUUAUCAAGGGUUGAACACUUUGUUGAUGAAUUGGGAUGUUGACCGAAAGUUAUUCUCACUGACUCUCAAUGAUUGCUUCAGUUUUAUUCAGAAUCAUGAAUUUACAUUGGAAGAAGUUUACGUUCAGGUUCUAUCCAGGAAUGAAAAUGGGUGAAAUAUUUUCUCUUUUUGAGACCAAGCCAGGUUAUGAUUCAUCUGUGACGGAUCUGUAUAUAUCAAAGAGUUCAAGAACUUCCCUGAUGACAAAAUAUAUUUAUUUGUUGCUCAAACGGAUACUGUAGAUACAUCAUCAUGCCUCAUAAGUCCUCAGCAAGUCAAUUUUUUAUUGAAUGGGGAAGGAGUCGAUAGAAGGACUUGUACUUACAAGGAUCCUGCACCACAGACGCUGACACCUGUCACAGACAUGCUUAAAUACGGAAGCAAUCUUCUUCAAGUAGUGGUCCAAUUCAAUGGGAGAUAUAUUAUAAUUAUCGGUUUCAUGAGUGUCGUUUCAAAACCUAGCUUUCCUACCAUUCCCGACUAUGUUGCCGCCAAUCGCUGCUCAAUCCGAUCCAGGUUAACUAGACACAUUUGUUUGUGUUUUUUUAAACUAUUUAUUAUCCUUCUCUAAAAUGUCACUUUUAGUAUUGAUGGCGUAAAGCUCUCUGACAUCAGAGCCAUUGAUUGGUUUUGCGAGCCCCCAGAGGAAGGGUUGAUGUGUGAGAUACUAUGGAGUGGUCCUCAACCUAAUCCCGUUAGAGGACCAAGCAAGCGUGGUGUAGGGCCUUUUGGUGGAGACGUAACAAAACGGCUUCUGAAGGAUAAUAAUCUAGAUGGGAUUUUAAUUAGAGAAAGGGGGUGUUAAAAAAUGUAACUGAAACCUUUUGAAGGAGAUGUUGCGUGCACCCGAGUCCGAUAGCCAAUGUUCGAACGAACCAGUGCAAGAGAAGAAGAUUAUUUCGAAGUCAAUUUGUUCACCAAUUCGACCCGAAGAUUCAUUGGAUUCGGUCAACUCUGAAGUCAACUCAGUAAGUAAUCGUGACAAGAAUAAUGUUACGCGGAGUAAGUCAACACCGAGAUCACGUUACAAAGGAAAGUCGAUAAGAACGUCACCUCGUGGGGUCAAGACGGUGAUUCGGACGAAGACCGUCGUGAAGAAAAAGUCAAAGCUGGAAUUGACUUUCGCUGCUAGCCUGCUACCGCUUCAAACGCAUCCGUUCCAGUGAAAUCCCAACUGAUAUGCCAAAAAUGCAAUUGUGCGAUAAAGUAUGCGAAAACCGAGUCGAAGAAAGACUCUCGGUUGCCUCUUUCGUCGAGUAGUACGGAAAACGGGAUGAACAGAAAAGUCAACGGGUAGAGGGAUGCAUUUCUUACGGGUAGAGGGAUGCAUUUCUUACUUGAACUUUUAUUUCUUUCAAAUGAUUAUUUCAACAAUUUUAAGUUAUAUAUUUGUGUGUUAGUCCACCCGCGAAAUUCGCGGGAUCUUAGGCUAGUUAAUAAUAUAUAUACCUUAAAGAGUUGUAUACCUUAUCCUAUAACUCUUAUACUUAUUAAUGUAUAAAGAAUAAACUGCCAUUUUGAUCCC